UAUUAUCUGUAAAACUUACAUAUAAAGAUUCUAAAUCAAUAGCACUAAUCUGCCAAAAUAAU
rnacentral:tRNA from 1 species